UUGAGGACCUUGAGGGCCACAUGUGGGCUUGAGGCCUUGGGUUCCCCACCUCUGUCCUGAGCCCAAAUGGAAAAGCAGAUUAGAGAUUGUUAAAUAGCCUGAGACGAUCACAAACUCAUCCACCCAGAGCCGGAAGGGACCUUCGAGGCCAUGUGCGCCAAGGAUCUCCAGGCUGUUUGGUCAUACAACCUGUCAGUGAACACUUUUGAUCCCCUCACUUACGUAUAUGUGUACAAAUUUUACACGAGUACCAGGAUGUUAAUAAUCAUGCACCAUGUAAGACUUACAUGAACAGAGACAUUUAAAAAAAGAUGAGAUAAAGACGCACUAGUAUUUUUUCCUGGACUCAAGAGGGAGAUGUUGGAAUAUCCCAUAUUGGGGAAUGAAAGUUCACACCCGGUUGCGACGUGCCUUUCCAUGUCUUGCUCAUGUGAGCACACACCAUUUGGGUCAUACCGUGGCCCUCUCUAAGUCAUACGACAGCCUCUGGGGGGUACACAGGGCUCCUGCUCUGGAGACCCCUGCUCUAGACCAACCCAAUUCCUUUUACAGAUGUGGAAACUGAGACCCAGGGAGAUGGUGACUUGUCCUGUGUCCCAGAGGUGGACCUGGACUCUACUGCCCUUCUGUUCCUCUAGUGCACCAAGACACAAGGCAUACUGAUCCCUCCGGACCCUACUUUCUGCUCCCGUCCAUCCACAGGAAGGCUACUCUCAGCAAUCGCAGAAACCCGGCUCCCCCGGAGGACACAGCCUCCCUGGCUCCCCUCUCCAGUCCUGGCCACACCUCCACUUGCUCUCCUCAGCUCCCCACUGACCCUUCCUCUACCUCCAUCACUCAGUAACAUCUUCUCCUUUGAGGUUCACGCUGUUCACCUCUACCACCCAACUGAGAUCCUGGUAGCCGCUGUCUGUAGACCUCCAGGACACUCCCCUUCCUUCCUCAGUGAGUGUGGCUCAUCCCCCCGCCUCCCAGUCCUGACCUCAUACUAAGGGACUUCAAUGUUGCAUGUGGACUUUUCCUCAAACAUUCCAAUCCCUCAGUUCCUCCACUGACUCCCUUCAAUGUCCACAGCAGAAUUCCAACCCUGGUCUCUCCUAAUCCCACGUCUGGAGUUCAGCGUAUGAUGCCAUGCCUUCCUUUCCAAAUUUCUGUCAUGUCCCCACUUCUCAAUCUCUGAACCUCUAAGCAUCUAAGCAUCUAAGCACGUUUCCAAUGUGGAAAUUCCCUCCACUGAUGCAGGCAGAGACCCAUCAGCGAUUCGGUUCUAGAGAGUUUCCUGUGGGACUGAGUGGCUAAGGAACCCUCCCCCAAAACAACCUAGCCAGUGUAUGCCAGAGGAAUGAUGUGAGCCCACUACAAAUGGCCUCUUGCAUCAAUGAAGAGAGGCAUCUGCCAUGUCGCUGAUAAGGAAUCAGGGGAGCUGGGUUCACAUCUAGGCUUGGCUACUUACUAUCUGCGAGACCUUGGGAAAGUCAUCUGUUUAACUGCUCUGUGCCUCAAUUUCCUCAUCUGUAUAGAAGACAAGGGGCUAGAUUAGAUAAUAUCUAAUAUCCAGCUCCAUGGAGGUGUAGAUUUCAUGCACUUCUCGAGGGAAGGAACUACUUUUUUUUUUCUUUUCUUUCUUUGUCUCCCCAGCUCUCAGACUAGUGCCUGGUAUAUAGUAGGCAUUUAAUAAAUGCUUCAUGACUUGACUUGGUCACAGAUCUAUCCAACACCAGAGGCAGGCCUGCUGUGGUGGCAUAGUUCAAAUGAUUAUUUUACAGGUGAGGAAACUGAGGCCCAGAGGGAGAUGGUUGAACCCAGAACUCUUCCAUGCCCCCCCCCCCAAUGUGGAUCAUCUCUGGGAAGCCCCUCUCCAUUCAGGCCCCUGUCCCAGGGCUAGGGCCUCACUGGAUUUGGAGGGUGGGGCCUGGUACAGGAACGUGGCUCAGUCCGUACACAGGGCAUGCAGUUGGCACCUGAUCGCCAGAGCCGGGUUCACUGCCAGGGUAAGCAGAGCCGGGCAGAGAGACCAUGAAAACAAAAUGUAACAAGAGACCAAACCACCUGAUGCCAGGCCAUGGGACAAAGGUCUCUAACACCCAGCCAGUGGAAUGUGGAAAUGUAUCAUUUAUUCCGACGGGCUUGGAAAGACUGAGCCUGUCAGGGAGGUGGGGGAGGCACGCCAGAAGGAAGGUUAACGGUAUCCACCUCUGUCUGGGUCUCUGCACCCUCGGGAUGGGGGGGAUGGGGAGAAACAAGACAACCUGGUUUAACUCCCACCUGUAAAGGGAGGAAUUAUUGUCCCAGACUGGCUUGUUUUGGUGCAGGGGAAUCCGGGUUUCCCAUCGGGCAUCUGGAUCCAAGCCCUCCUCUGACCCUCAAUGGCUGUAUUCUACUUGUCAAAUGAGGGGGCUGGACCCAGGGGCCUCUUAAGCCUCUUCCAACUCUAAACCCCAUGAGCCUAACCAUGUGUGGUUUCUUCUUGGUAUGAUGGGCAAAGCACUGGCUCUGCAGAGAGAAGGUCAGCUCUUGAGCUAUGACCCUGGGACCUCCCUGGGCCUCAGUUUCUGGCCUUUCCCAGUACUCACUCUAUGAUGCUCUGACCCUGUGACCUGGGUUCAAAUCUUCGCUCCACCCCACCACCUGCCUGAACUUCAGCGAGUGCCUUCAGACUGGUUUCCUAAACGUUACUCUGACUUUUGUAAAAAUGGACCCACUCAUUUAUAUGCUCUCUUCUUCAAGCUGAUAAUUUACACGGUGCUGGAUACUUGGGGAAACUCUUGAGGGAUGGCGACACUUCACAACCUCCCUGAGACCUAAGUCAUCCCCACCAUACAGGUGAGAAAACUAGGGAGAAGUGAGGCUUGUCCACAGCCUCACGCUUGAGGCAACCGUGGGCUCCACAGGUCUAUUUUCCUCUUCUAGAUCCAGGGGCUAGGAGGUGGGACAAAAGGCCCCACGCUCUCCACCGCUGAGUGGGAAUCUGAGCAGCCCCCAGAGACAGGGGCUAAGGACUUUGUAGGGCUGACAAGGAUCAUCAUCUAGCACGCCAUCUUGGCGGGAAGUGAAAACUGAACUGGCCAAAAUCAAAACAUGGGGACCACAUACUCCACUGUUGGGCUGUUUUGAGGAAAGUACCUUGUCAACCUUAAAGCA